rnacentral:rRNA from 1 species
UACGUAGGUGGCAAGCGUUGUCCGGAUUUAUUGGGCUUAAAGGGUGCGUAGGCGGCUUUGUAAGUCAGUGGUGAAAUAUGGCAGCUUAACUGUCAAGGUGCCAUUGAUACUGCGGAGCUUGAGUACAGAUGAGGUAGGCGGAAUUGACGGUGUAGCGGUGAAAUGCUUAGAUAUCGUCAAGAACACCUAUAGCGAAGGCAGCUUACUAGGCUGUAACUGACGCUGAGGCACGAAAGUGUGGGGAUCAAACAGG